rnacentral:rRNA from 1 species
AACGAACGCUGGCGGCAGGCUUAACACAUGCAAGUCGAGCGCCCCGCAAGGGGCGCGGCAGACGGGUGAGUAACGCGUGGGAACGUACCUUUUGGUUCGGAACAACUCCGGGAAACUGGAGCUAAUACCGGAUAAGCCCUAACGGGGAAAGAUUUAUCGCCGAAAGAUCGGCCCGCGUCUGAUUAGCUAGUUGGUGAGGUAACGGCUCACCAAGGCGACGAUCAGUAGCUGGUCUGAGAGGAUGAUCAGCCACACUGGGACUGAGACACGGCCCAGACUCCUACGGGAGGCAGCAGUGGGGAAUAUUGGAAAAUGGGCGCAAGCCUGAUCCAGCCAUGCCGCGUGAGUGAUGAAGGCCUUAGGGUUGUAAAGCUCUUUUGUCCGGGAAGAUAAUGACUGUACCGGAAGAAUAAGCCCCGGCUAACUUCGUG